UACGGAGGGUGCAAGCGUUGUCCGGAAUUACUGGGCGUAAAGAGCGCGUAGGCGGCACGGUACGACCGGUGUGAAAGCCCCCGGCUCAACUGGGGAGGGUCACCGGUAACGGCCGAGCUAUGAGUGCAGGAGAGGGAAGUGGAACUCCGGGAGUAGCGGUGAAAUGCGUAGAGACCCGGAGGAACACCAGUGGCGAAGGCGGCUUCCUGGUCUGCAACUGACGCUGUGGCGCGAAAGCUAGGGGAGCAAACGGG
rnacentral:rRNA from 1 species